GAUGAACGCUGGCGGCGUGCCUAAUACAUGCAAGACGAGCGAACAGAUGAGGAGCUUGCUCCUCUGACGUUAGCGGCGGACGGGUGAGUAACACGUGGAUAACCUACCUAUAAGACUGGGAUAACUUCGGGAAACCGGAGCUAAUACCGGAUAAUAUAUUGAACCGCAUGGUUCAAUAGUAAAAGACGGUUUUGCUGUCACUUAUAGAUGGAUCCGCGCCGCAUUAGCUAGUUGGUAAGGUAACGGCUUACCAAGGCAACGAUGCGUAGCCGACCUGAGAGGGUGAUCGGCCACACUGGAACUGAGACACGGUCCAGACUCCUACGGGAGGCAGCAGUAGGGAAUCUUCCGCAAAGGGCGAAAGCCUGACGGAGCAACGCCGCGUGAGUGAUGAAGGUCUUCGGAUCGUAAAACUCUGUUAUUAGGGAAGAACAAAUGUGUAAGUAACUAUGCACGUCUUGACGGUACCUAAUCAGAAAGCCACGGCUAACUACGUG
rnacentral:rRNA from 1 species